UUAGAAUUAGUCAAGAGGUUAAGACACGAGCUCGCCAAGCUUGAAACGAUGGUUCGAAUCCGUCAUUCUAAA
rnacentral:tRNA from 1 species